rnacentral:rRNA from 1 species
GACAGAGGUGCCAAGCGUUAGGCGGAAUCACUGGGCUUAAAGCGUGUGUAGGCGGAUCGUUAAGUACCUUGUGAAAUCCCACGGCUCAACCGUGGAACUGCUGGGUAUACUGGCGAUCUUGAGCCACCUAGGGGCAACUGGAACAAGCGGUGGAGCGGUGAAAUGCGUAGAUAUCGCUUGGAACGCCAACGGUGAAAACAGGUUGCUGGGGGUGUGCUGACGCUGAGACACGAAAGCCAGGGGAGCGAACGGG